UACGUAGGCAGCAAGCGUUGUUCGGAGUUACUGGGCGUAAAGGGUGCGUAGGCUGCUUUUUAAGUUCGGUGUGAAAUCUCCCGGCUCAACUGGGAGGGUGCGCCGAAAACUGGAGUGCUGGAGCGCGGGAGAGGAAAGCGGAAUUCCUGGUGUAGCGGUGAAAUGCGUAGAUAUCAGGAGGAACACCGGCGGUGUAGACGGCUUUCUGGACCGUAGCUGACGCUGAGACACGAAAGCGUGGGUAGCAAACAGG
rnacentral:rRNA from 1 species